rnacentral:rRNA from 1 species
CAUGCAGUCGACGGCAGCACGGCACUUCGGUCAUGCGUGACGAGUGGCGAACGGGUGAGUAAUACAUCGGAACGUGCCUAGUAGUGGGGGAUAACUACUCGAAAGAGUGGCUAAUACCGCAUGAGAUCUACGGAUGAAAGCAGGGGACCUUAGGGCCUUGUGCUACUGGAGCGGCCGAUGGCAGAUUAGGUAGUUGGUGGGAUAAAAGCUUACCAAGCCGACGAUCUGUAGCUGGUCUGAGAGGACGAUCAGCCACACUGGGACUGAGACACGGCCCAGACUCCUACGGGAGGCAGCAGUGGGGAAUUUUGGACAAUGGGCGCAAGCCUGAUCCAGCAAUGCCGCGUGCAGGAUGAAGGCCUUCGGGUUGUAAACUGCUUUUGUACGGAACGAAAAGCUCUUCUCUAAUACAGGGGGGUGAUGACGGUACCGUAAGAAUAAGCACCGGCUAACUACGUGCCAGCAGCCGCGGUAAUACGUAGGGUGCAAGCGUUAAUCGGAAUUACUGGGCGUAAAGCGUGCGCAGGCGGUUUUGUAAGACAGUGGUGAAAUCCCCGGGCUCAACCUGGGAACUGCCAUUGUGACUGCAAGGCUGGAGUGCGGCAGAGGGGGAUGGAAUUCCGCGUGUAGCAGUGAAAUGCGUAGAUAUGCGGAGGAACACCGAUGGCGAAGGCAAUCCCCUGGGCCUGCACUGACGCUCAUGCACGAAAGCGUGGGGAGCAAACAGGAUUAGAUACCCUGGUAGUCCACGCCCUAAACGAUGUCAACUGGUUGUUGGGGAUUUAUUUCUUCAGUAACGAAGCUAACGCGUGAAGUUGACCGCCUGGGGAGUACGGCCGCAAGGUUAAAACUCAAAGGAAUUGACGGGACCCGCACAAGCGGUGGAUGAUGUUCUUUAAUUCGAUGCAACGCGAAAAACCUUACCCACCUUUGACAUGUACGGAAUCCUUUAGAGAUAGAGGAGUGCUCGAAAGAGAGCCGUAACACAGGUGCUGCAUGGCUGUCGUCAGCUCGUGUCGUGAGAUGUUGGGUUAAGUCCCGCAACGAGCGCAACCCUUGCCAUUAGUUGCUACGAAAGGGCACUCUAAUGGGACUGCCGGUGACAAACCGGAGGAAGGUGGGGAUGACGUCAAGUCCUCAUGGCCCUUAUAGGUGGGGCUAGAAACGUCAUACAAUGGCCGGUACAAAGGGUCGCGAAGCCGCGAGGUGGAGCCAAUCCCAUAAAGCCGGUCGUAGUCCGGAUCGCAGUCUGCAACUCGACUGCGUGAAGUCGGAAUCGCUAGUAAUCGUGGAUCAGCAUGUCACGGUGAAUACGUUCCCGGGUCUUGUACACACCGCCCGUCACACCAUGGGAGCGGGUCUCGCCAGAAGUAGGUAGCCUAACCGCAAGGAGGGCGCUACCACGGC